UCCAUCUUUCCCAGUCUCUCCAUCUUUCCCAGUCUCUCCAUCUCUGCACCUAGGAAAGAUGGCCGGUUCCUCCCAGGACAGAAAGCAGUCUGAGAAGUCAUAGCACAAGCUUCUGACCAUGUUCGCAACGGAUCCGGAGACUAUACCAGGAACACCUGGCACGACGAAGGAAGAUACCCUACGACCUGGAUGGUACAUUCUAGUACUGGGGAGAGAUGAUUUGAAAAGGUACCGAUCCUACAGCUAGCCGAUAUCCUGUCAGGGUUAUCUUAUCUGUGGCUAAUUAAGCGUGUUCUUAGGACAGGCUCCGAAUCCACCGUGAACCUGAUCAGGAUAAAGAUGAAUGGCCACGUCCUGGACUGGUCAUCAUUUGCCUGAUGAAGAAUUUAGUUCUUGGCAUGAAUGACCAUGAUUUCUAAUUUCAAGACCUUUCUCCCGUUUCUCACCAUGUGCGAAUUUCUCAAUCAGCUGCCUCAAAAGGGGUCAUUGUAUUUAAAAAAAAAAAAAAAAAAAAAAAACAAAACCCACAAUUUACAAGACUACAGAUUGAUUCAAAGACUACCGAUUUCCGACCACGCCGUUCACGGAAGGACAUCUGGCACCUGCGCUACAGCUCGGCAUCCCUGAGAGAAGCUACCUGAGAUCACAGAGAGUUUAUACAGUCCAGAUACCCAUGUCUUAUCACACACCCAUGCUGGUCCGAUAGCACAAAAUCAACACAGAGUCAUGAAUGAAAUCUCCGGAGGGCUAGACCUCACAAGAAUUCGCUCCAUUUCCUCAAACGCGUAGGAGAGUCGAGAACAUGGGGGAGAUUCUAUCAGGACUCGAUCCCUUUCACACUAGCUACUCUGUUCGUCUUGUGGAAC
ensembl:lncRNA